rnacentral:rRNA from 1 species
AUUGAACGCUGGCGGCAGGCCUAACACAUGCAAGUCGAGCGGAUGAAGGGAGCUUGCUCCUGGAUUCAGCGGCGGACGGGUGAGUAAUGCCUAGGAAUCUGCCCGGUAGUGGGGGAUAACGUCCGGAAACGGGCGCUAAUACCGCAUACGUCCUGAGGGAGAAAGUGGGGGAUCUUCGGACCUCACGCUAUCAGAUGAGCCUAGGUCGGAUUAGCUAGUUGGUGGGGUAAAGGCCUACCAAGGCGACGAUCCGUAACUGGUCUGAGAGGAUGAUCAGUCACACUGGAACUGAGACACGGUCCAGACUCCUACGGGAGGCAGCAGUGGGGAAUAUUGGACAAUGGGCGAAAGCCUGAUCCAGCCAUGCCGCGUGUGUGAAGAAGGUCUUCGGAUUGUAAAGCACUUUAAGUUGGGAGGAGGGGCAGUAAGCUAAUACCUUGCUGUUUUGACGUUACCAACAGAAUAAGCACCGGCUAACUUCGUG